CCCUUAGAUGUUCUGGGCGGCCCGCGCACUACACUGGCACUCUCAAUCAGAGCCUGGAUCUAACACUUUGGGGUAUUCUAUGAAGUGGUGUCGUGACUGGGAUUAACCCUUGCAAUUAUUGGUUACGAACGAGGAAUUCCUUGUAAUCGCGGUUUAUCAGCCCGCGUUGAAUGCGUCCCUGCCCUUUGUACACACCGCCCGUCGCUACUACCGAUUGAAUGGUUUAGUGAGAUCUUCGGAUUGGCGCCACUGCGGCUCAGCAAUGGGCUCGGUGGAUGCCGAAAAGUUGAUCAAACUUGAUCAUUUAGAGGUAGUAAAAGUCGUAACA
rnacentral:rRNA from 1 species